GACGUAGGGGGCGAGCGUUGUCCGGAUUUAUUGGGCGUAAAGCGUGCGUAGGCGGCUGCGCAAGUCGGGUGUGAAACCCCGGGGCUCAACCCCGGAACUGCAUCCGAUACUGCGUGGCUAGAGGUAGGUAGGGGAGAUCGGAAUUCCUGGUGUAGCGGUGAAAUGCGCAGAUAUCAGGAGGAACACCGGUGGCGAAGGCGGUUCUCUGGGCAUGAUCUGACGCUGAGGAGCGAAAGUGUGGGGAGCGAACAGG
rnacentral:rRNA from 1 species